rnacentral:piRNA from 1 species
UUGACCAUGCCCACACAGUAG